rnacentral:piRNA from 1 species
UAAAUAAAGGACAGGCUAUUCACGAG